rnacentral:rRNA from 1 species
AUUGAACGCUGGCGGCAUGCUUUACACAUGCAAGUCGGACGGCAGCACAGAGAAGCUUGCUUCUUGGGUGGCGAGUGGCGAACGGGUGAGUAACAUAUCGGAACGUACCGAGCAGUGGGGGAUAACUAAUCGAAAGAUUAGCUAAUACCGCAUAUCUUCUGAGGAAGAAAGCAGGGGACCAUUUGGCCUUGCGCUGUUUGAGCGGCCGAUAUCUGAUUAGCUAGUUGGUGGGGUAAAGGCCUACCAAGGCGACGAUCAGUAGCGGGUCUGAGAGGAUGAUCCGCCACACUGGGACUGAGACACGGCCCAGACUCCUACGGGAGGCAGCAGUGGGGAAUUUUGGACAAUGGGCGCAAGCCUGAUCCAGCCAUGCCGCGUGUCUGAAGAAGGCCUUCGGGUUGUAAAGGACUAUUGUCAGGGAAGAAAAGGGCGGGGUUAAUACCCCUGUCUGAUGACGGUACCUGAAGAAUAAGCACCGGCUAACUACGUG